rnacentral:rRNA from 1 species
GACGAACGCUGGCGGCGUGCUUAACACAUGCAAGUCGAACGGUAAGGCCCUUCGGGGUACACGAGUGGCGAACGGGUGAGUAACACGUGGGUGAUCUGCCCUGCACUUCGGGAUAAGCCUGGGAAACUGGGUCUAAUACCGGAUAGGACUCCUGCCUGCAUGGGUGGGGGUGGAAAGCGUUUGUGGUGUGGGAUGGGCCCGCGGCCUAUCAGCUUGUUGGUGGGGUGAUGGCUUACCAAGGCGACGACGGGUAGCCGGCCUGAGAGGGUGACCGGCCACACUGGGACUGAGAUACGGCCCAGACUCCUACGGGAGGCAGAAGUGGGGAAUAUUGCACAAUGGGCGCAAGCCUGAUGCAGCGACGCCGCGUGAGGGAUGACGGCCUUCGGGUUGUAAACCUCUUUCAGCACAGACGAAGCGCAAGUGACGGUAUGUGCAGAAGAAGGACCGGCCAACUACGUGCCAGCCGCCGCAGUAA